GUCCUACGUGUCAAGCAAGUUCUCAAAAUACACGGAAUUGGGAUACCUACAGAGUGCCUUUGUUAUAAAGGCAUUUGAGAUAUAAGAUCCAUAUAUAUUGACAAUUCUUAUUGCUUGUCUUAGCCUAGGUUCUGCCAAGAAAAUAAAGGCGAUCUAUUUGAGGAAGUGAUUCUAAGAAAAAGGAAGUGAUCACAAGAAAAGCGAAGAGAUCACAAGAAAAGGGAAGAGAUCAUAAGAAAGGUGAAGAGUGAAACGAAAAGAGAAGAAAGUCCAAGGAUAUGUCACCCCUGUCUAUUUGCCUGUGACUAAACCCAUGUAACCUGAUUGGCCUCCUAAAACCCUUUCAUCUAAUCUACUCAUCGAGAUUCUUGUUCUCCUUCAAAUGAAUCCCCAGUUUAAUCUUCAGAUGGGCUGAGUAAUCAAUGGUUCAGGUAAAGACUAUUUCCUUUUCAUCUUGAUCUUAUGUAUGAGGAUUUUUCAGCUGCUGAAUUCAAGAUGGCCAGAAAAGUACUUUAUUUUGGUGCCACAUUUUCCUCCUUUGCUUAAUUUAGAAAUAAUUUCACUCCUGCAAAUAGAUCUUGCAUAUUUGUGAGCGUGAGCAGGUUAAGUGGUCACCUGUUAUCUCUAUGAAGUCCAUUGAACUUUUGAGAAAAUAGAAUUCUUUCAUGAAGCACGGAACACACAACUUUCAACAUCCUAAAAAAUGUGUAGUGUAAGUGAAGGUAUUUCCAUUGCAUAUUUUACCCUUGCUUUAAAAGGAGUUUAUGUGUUUAUCAGUUGGGAAAGAUUCUAAAUUUAAUGAAUGCAAAAGCAUUGUUCAAGUUUGUCAUAAAAAUGACAACUCCAUUGACCUUUCCAUAUUCUGUCACAAGUGGGAGUGAUAGAUUGACAGAUGGUCCUGCACUGAAUACUGCGAAAAACAAUACCAGGACUCUUUGUGUGUAUUUACAAUACAGAGAAUUGAGUUGCUUAAGAAACAUUCAAAACAGUCCUAGAAAAUAAAGGCUUUAAACUUUUCAUCUGAAACUAUUUUUAAAGGGAAAAAAAUGAGUCAUUGAUAUGAUCUGAAUGCAGUAUUAUUCUAGAAUCAACUCAUAUGGAUUAUUUUCUCAAUACAAAAAGAGUAACCAAUCACACAUCACUGUUUGUCUCAAGUAUUGCUUUACUGUAAUGCUAAUCAAAAUGGUAGGAAUGAUUUCUGUGUUUUACAAUGCUUCAUCAAAAGAGCACUUUAUAAAAUAAUGAGCUGUAGAAUGCACAUCAUCCCUUCAAGAAGGUAAAUAAAACUAACAUUUACUAUUGUUUUUAUUGUUGUUA